AACAUAACUGUGAGUUUGAAUACAAUUAUUGUCUACUAGAGAUUAUACAAACUCAAAAGGAGUCCUCAUUACAAUUAUUAACAUACUAUUUCACAGAAUAGUGAGGACUACUAAUGCUAUCCUCUGGACCGUCACUCCGUUCCCCGACUAGUCCCUGCUAUGUUCUCAUUUCCUGAAGAGAACAGUGAAAGAAAUGGUGAGCUCAACUAGCCCAG
rnacentral:lncRNA from 1 species